rnacentral:snRNA from 1 species
GGAUGUGAGGGUGAUCUGGCUGCAACAUGUCACCCCAUGUUGCAGGGGUUGCAUUGAUUACCAGGGUUGAUUCUGCUGAUCUGGCUGGCUGGGCGGAUGUCCCCUUCCUCCCUCACUGCUCCAUGUGUGUCCCUCCUGAAGCUGCAUGCUUGGUCUAAGAGAGAGACCAUCCCCAAUAGAGGAGGACCAUUCUUCAGUCAAGGGUAUAUGAGUAGCUGCGCUCCCCUGGUAGAACCUCCAAACAAGCUCUCAUUUAUAUUAUAUAUUGUAUCACCACUAUAUCCAAGAAACAGUAAUGCCUACUCUUGUAUGUCCCUGGACUUUGCUA